rnacentral:rRNA from 1 species
AUGCUUAGAAUGAAAAGAGCACCAUUUGCCAGGCUUGUCGAGACCUUCAGGAGCAGGGGGCUGUUCCAAGAUAGCAUCAACACUAGUGUCGAAGAGCAAGUGGCCAUGUUCCUCCAUGUUGUUGGCCAUAACCAGAGGUUCAGGGUCAUUCACAACACGUUCAGGAGAUCAAUGGAGAUCAUCUCUAGGUACUUCAAGCAGGUGCUUUAUGCUAUUGGGGAGCUUAGAGGAGAGAUGGUCAGGAGACCAUCUGGCCAGACUCCACCCAAGAUUCGCGGAAGCCCAAGAUGGUAUCCAUACUUCAAGAUCAGUCUAUGGAGAGACUAG